rnacentral:rRNA from 1 species
UACAGAGGUCUCAAGCGUUGUUCGGAUUCAUUGGGCGUAAAGGGUGCGUAGGCGGCGCGGUAAGUCGGGUGUGAAAUCUCGGGGCUUAACUCCGAAACUGCAUUCGAUACUGCCGUGCUUGAGGACUGGAGAGGAGACUGGAAUUUACGGUGUAGCGGUGAAAUGCGUAGAUAUCGGAAGGAAGACCAGUGGCGAAGGCGGGUCUCUGGACAGUGCCUGACGCUGAGGCACGAAGGCCAGGGGAGCAAACGGG